UGCCAGCCGCCGCGGUAAUACGGAGGGUGCGAGCGUUAAUCGGAAUCGCUGGGCGUAAAGCGUGCGUAGGCGGCGCAUCAAGUCAGACGUGAAAGCCCUCGGCUCAACCGAGGAAUUACGUUUGAAACUGAUGUGCUAGGGUCUCGGAGAGGUUAGGGGAAUUCCAGGUGUAGGAGUGAAAUCCGUAGAUAUCUGGAGGAACACCGGUGGCGAAGGCGCCUAACUGGACGAGUACUGACGCUGAGGUACGAAAGCUAGGGUAGCGAACGGGAUUAGAUA
rnacentral:rRNA from 1 species